rnacentral:rRNA from 1 species
AGAGUUUGAUCAUGGCUCAGGAUGAACGCUGGCGGCGUGCCUAAUACAUGCAAGUCGAGCGAACGGACGAGAGUGCUUGCACUCUCUGAUGUUAGCGGCGGACGGGUGAGUAACACGUGGGUAACCUACCUAUAAGACUGGGAUAACUUCGGGAAACCGGAGCUAAUACCGGAUAAUAUUUAGCUUCGCAUGAAGCAAUAGUGAAAGACGGUUCUGCUGUCACUUAUAGAUGGACCCGCGGUGUAUUAGCUAGUUGGUGAGGUAACGGCUCACCAAGGCAACGAUACAUAGCCGACCUGAGAGGGUGAUCGGCCACACUGGGACUGAGACACAGCCCAGACUCCUACGGGAGGCAGCAGUAGGGAAUCUUCCGCAAUGGACGAAAGUCUGACGGAGCAACGCCGCGUGAGUGAAGAAGGUUUUCGGAUCGUAAAACUCUGUUGUAAGGGAAGAACAAGUACGUUAGUAACUGAACGUACCUUGACGGUACCUUACCAGAAAGCCACGGCUAACUACGUGCCAGCAGCCGCGGUAAUACGUAGGUGGCAAGCGUUAUCCGGAAUUAUUGGGCGUAAAGCGCGCGUAGGCGGUCUCUUAAGUCUGAUGUGAAAGCCCCCGGCUCAACCGGGGAGGGUCGUUGGAAACUGGGAGACUUGAGUGCAGAAGAGGAGAGUGGAAUUCCAUGUGUAGCGGUGAAAUGCGCAGAGAUAUGGAGGGACACCAGUGGCGAAGGCGGCUCUCUGGUCUGUAACUGACGCUGAGGUGCGAAAGCGUGGGGAUCAAACAGGAUUAGAUACCCUGGUAGUCCACGCCGUAAACGAUGAGUGCUAAGUGUUGGGGGGUUUCCGCCCCUCAGUGCUGCAGCUAACGCAUUAAGCACUCCGCCUGGGGA